CUUGUACUCCCUCCGUCCGAAAAUACUUGUCAUUGAAAUGGAUGAAUCUAGAUAUAUUUUAGUUCUAGACACAUCCAUUUUGAUGACAAGUAAUUCUAGACGGAGGGAGUACUUG
rnacentral:pre_miRNA from 1 species